rnacentral:rRNA from 1 species
CGCUCUUUGAAAAUAUUUCUAAUUAAUUAAAAAUUAUACAUAAAGAGUCGGACCUGCCCAGUGACUAUAUUGUUAAACGGCCGCGGUACUCUGACCGUGCAAAGGUAGCAUAAUCAUUUGCCUUUUAAUUGGAGGCUUGUAUGAAUGGUUUGACGAAAACUAAGCUGUCUCUUCUUAAAUAUAUAAAAAUUAAUUUUUAGGUGAAGAAGCCUAAUAUUUAACUGAGGGACAAGAAGACCCCGUUGAGCUUUAGCGAUUUAGUGAAAUAAAAUACUUAAAGUAAUUUUAGUAAAUAAUUUAUAUACUUUAUGAAAUAAAUAACAUUAAAAUGUAAAUAUUAUUCACUAAAAAUCUUUAGUUGGGGCGACUGAGGAGCAUAAAAAGCUUCCUUUUAAUAAAGUGUUUAACGGAAAUCAAUCCAGAAUAAUGAUCCGGUAUUUACUGAUUAAAGGAAAAAGUUACCACGGGGAUAACAGCGUAAUUUUUCCAGAGAGUUCUUAUCGAAGGAAAAGUUUGCGACCUCGAUGUUGGACUAAGAUAUCCUAGAGGUGCAGCAGCUUCUAAUGGUUAGUCUGUUCGACUAUUAAAAUCUU